rnacentral:lncRNA from 1 species
GAGUGAUCAUGGCGGAAAGAAUCAACAGAAGCAGCAUAGUUGAAGAGGUAGAAGUCAAGGUUAGUGAGGACAGGGUGGUAAUGAACGUGAUUCUUGAGGAAAGAGAGAAAAUCUUUGGCCGUGAAAGAAGGUUUAAGGUGGGUUUCCAUGAGUUGGUUCAGUUGGUUUUAACGUGAUUCUUGAGGAAUGAGAGGAAAUCUUUGGCCGUGAAAGAAGGUUUAAGGUGGGUUUCCAUGAGUUGGUUCAGUUGGUUUUGGGCAACAGGGGUGAGGUUGUUGGUGGUGCACACUGAGGAAUCUAUCGUUCUCAAUGAAAGAGGUAACAGUGAAGUCCGAUCAGAAGCGGUUUGUUUUGG